rnacentral:rRNA from 1 species
GACGAACGCUGGCGGCGUGCUUAACACAUGCAAGUCGAACGAAGUGGCGAACGUGUGAGUAACGCGUAAUCAACCUGCCCUUCAGAGGGGGACAACAGUUGGAAACGACUGCUAAUACCGCAUACUGAAGGAGGGGAUUGCGUCUGAUUAGCUAGUUGGAGGGGUAACGGCCCACCAAGGCGAUGAUCAGUAGCCGGUCUGGAAGGGUGAACGGCAACAGUGGUAGUGAGAAACGACAAAGACUCGUACGGGAGGCAGCAGUGGGAAAUCUUCCGGAAUGGACGAAAGUCUGACGAAGCAACGCCGCGUGAGUGAUGACGGCCUUCGGGUUGUAAAGCUCUGUUAAUCGGGACGAGGUACCGGAAUAGAAAGCCACGGGUAACUACGUGCCAGACGCCGCGGUAAUAA